rnacentral:rRNA from 1 species
AUUGAACGCUGGCGGCAGGCCUAACACAUGCAAGUCGAACGAGUGGCGGACGGGUGAGUAAUGUCUGGGAAACUGCCUGAUGGAGGGGGAUCACUACUGGAAACGGUAGCUAAUACCGCAUACCAUCAUCUUUGCCUAGAUGGGAUUAGCUAGUAGGUGGGGUAAAGGUUCACCUAGGCGACGAUACCUAGCUGGUCUGAGAGGAUGACCAGCCACCCUGGAACUGAGACACGGUCCAGACUCCUACGGGAGGCAGCAGUGGGGAAUAUUGCACAAUGGGCGCAAGCUUGAUGCAGCCCUGCCGCGUGUAUGAAGAAGGCUUUCGGGUUCUAAAUCACUUUCAGCGAGGAGGCGUUAAUCGCAGAAGAAGCACCGGCUAACUCCGUGCCAGCAGCCGCGGUAAUUC